CAGCAGCAGGUGCCCGAACCGCUCCGCACCGCGCCGCGCCGCAGCCCCGCGCAGAAGUACUUCUGUGGGUAUGGAGAAAAUGUGUGAACUGUCCAUCUCAUGGUAACUAGCCAUGACCUAGUUGUUGACAGUUUGAGCACAGUCUGUAGAACGCCUUGAAUGUUUCACCCAUGCUUAAAGAAAAGCACCAACUGGGAGAUAAUCUGGAGGAAUAAAAAAAAACAAUGGAAUGAUCCUGAAGAACCCAGGAAUCUCUGAAGAACCACUUUAGAACCAGUUACUGUCCUGCUCAGACAAUGAGAGGGUUGCUUGUCUCAGUCCAGAAAAAAUACAGAAAGACCAAAAUAAACUGGUUUUUACCUUAGAGGAGCAAGUUUAAAUCUAAGAAGUACUGAACUAGAUCUAGAUCUCUAGAAACUAAAAUACAAUUUAGCCACAAAGCAGUUUAAAUCACGAGCAACAGCAUUACCUACCCUGCAUUACAUUGGCAGUGAGCUUUAAUCCUGUUUAAAGGAAAGCACCACUGGAAACUCAGUCUGACUAGACAUUUAACUUUAGCUCCACUUAUGAAAAAAGCUUCUAAGGGGGGCAAGCAUGAGCUUUUCUGAAAACAAGUACAGAAAAAUCUACUAGAAGCCUUUUUUUUUUUUCCUUCAAGAGAAGAAUUUAUCAAGAGUUCAGCUAGCUGUGUAGAAAACCCACCCUUUCACAGACUACUUGCCUUUUGAUUUAAUACUUCUUGAGUACAAGAUACAAGGUCUGGCCUGUAACUGGAUAACUUAUAUGAAAUGCAGUUUGUUCGCUGCUAUAUUAGUUUAUGAAAGAUAAACAGAAAAAAGCAAUUCAGGGAUUCAUAUAUGGCCACAUAAACCCAAGAUACUCCUCUUCCCAAGCAUCUAGUGGAAUUCUGUACGAAGUCUGAAGAUGUGUGAAAAUGAGAUUUAGAGUAAAAAUAGCUCUUGCUGAUCCAUACUGCGCACUAUCCACAACCAUCUCAUUUUCUGUUGUAAGAGAGAUUUGCAUGUGUUUAUGGAGAUUUGCUUACGGUGUCACCUUCAGCUUCCACAGCAAGCAAUUAAGGUAUCUCAAAGAGCAGACUGAGUUCAGUGAAAGAGUACACAGCAGGAGCAGAUGAACUGUUAGGGUCCCACGCAGCAGAAAUGAUCUGUCAUUCCACACCCUGUGGAAUAAGAAAGGCCGCAGGGACUUGCUGGGCCACGUACCUGCCAGCACAGGUUGUACAAGCAGAGGAAGGACGGCAAAUGGCACAGACGAUCUGCUUCAGAUGGCCAUGCAGAGCAGCACCAGGCCAAAGGAAUUCUCUCGUGAUCACUUGUGGUUGUAGGAGAAAGAAGGGGCGCUGAGGGUAAAACCCAGCCAGUAACAUGGACCCUUACAGAGUGCUUGCUGGGUGCAUACCCGAGAACAGCCGCCAGGUAGACAUUUGCAAGUAUUCAUAUCCAAACAUUCUCUAAUUUUAGUUGCUCAAAUUAAACCAGAUUGCUUCCUAAGGUUAAUCAUACGCUCCUUCCUAUAGAGAAAUAGUUCUGAUUUUUUACUUUCAGAUCUCGCUUCUGGCCAGAGAAUAUCAAACAAAUUAAGCUUAGCUUUUUCCCUGUAUUGUAAUGUGUUUUGAAAUGUUCACAAAGGCUGUGAUAAAAUGUUGAAAUAAAAAUUCACCUUUUGCAGUUACCAUCAUGGCAAAUCUCAGUCUCAGAAGACAGAAAUUUUGAUGGAUAUGGGUAACUGUAAACAGAAGGUUAAAAGAGAAACUGUUAGAUGAUCUUAACCAAAGUGGAGAGUGCAGCAGUAAAUGAAUAUGAAACUGCUGACCUUGAAGGAUCACUGGGCUGCAUGGAUAUUGGGUUUUGUAAGUUUUCCAUGAACGACACAGUUUAUUAACAUAACAUGGGUGAUGUUGUCUGCUGCUUUUUAUUGGCUGCCUGCAGCCUUUGACUUCUAGUCUCCCAUUUAUAUAUGACAUAGGAUAAUGUUAGAAGUGGGAAAAAUGUUAGCUCAAUGCCAAAGAUAUUUGAAAGCACCAUCCUUGAGACAAUUAUUAAACAUUCUACUAUAUACAACCAUAAUUGUCCUUAAGUCCAAAGCGCUGUCAAGCUUUUCUGUCUUCUUUAUUUUAAAGUAAUGUUGGGUUUCAGUCUUGCCUUGAGAGACUGCUUUACAGCUAGAUCUCUAUUGUAUUUACUGGUAGCAUGAAAGCUAAUGCCUGGAUAGGAUAUUAGCAGGUUUUCUUUCAGUAACAAAAAACUCCAAAGUGAGCAAUGAUGCCAAAGUCAGAGCCUGACCCGUUUUCCUUGUCAGACACUUCUGUCAAAACAUGUGCAUUGUUACAAAUAACUAACUCACAGUGAGACUUAGUCGCUAUUCAAAUAGGUAAUUGUAUUUUAACAGGGCAAAAUCCCAACCCAAGCAGCCAGAGAACACUCAGCUAAA